rnacentral:rRNA from 1 species
UAGGGAAUCUUGCACAAUGGGCGAAAGCCUGAUGCAGCAACGCCGCGUGAAGGAUGAAGGCCUUCGGGUCGUAAACUUCUGUUCUUGGGGAAGAAACAAAUGACGGUACCCAAGGAGCAAGCCCCGGCUAACUACGUGCCAGCAGCCGCGGUAAUACGUAGGUGGCAAGCGUUGUCCGGAAUUAUUGGGCGUAAAGCGCGCGCAGGUGGUUUAGAAAGUCUGAUGUGAAAGCCCACGGCUCAACCGUGGAGGGUCAUUGGAAACUAAUAAACUUGAGUGCAGGAGAGAAAAGUGGAAUUCCUAGUGUAGCGGUGAAAUGCGUAGAGAUUAGGAGGAACACCGGUGGCGAAAGCGGCUUUUUGGCCUGCAACUGACACUGAGGCGCGAAAGCGUGGGGAGCAAACAGG